rnacentral:misc_RNA from 1 species
GAAAUAUCAACAUCUCCCCAUCUUGUAAAAAGAUUUGAUACAAAAGAUCCGAAUGGCUCUACAGUUGCCCCUCUCAGGAUUUCUAUGCUUUCAACCACAGCUCGAAGUUCGUGAAUGAGUUGAAAUCGCAUAGACCAAUCCUCCUCUGAGGGAUUGAUGGAGUGAAGUAUAUUCUGAAGAGUAUGCUCCAACAAGCUGUAGCCAUUCAUUUUGAG